GAUAUCCUUUUUUGAUGGUUUAAACUUGCUUGCUCUUCUCCUGAUAUGGCAGAAAACGGCAAUGAGCCCAACUAUCACCCCAGCAGAGAGGCAUCCUAGCAGUGCUUCAUAUCCUGCGGAUAAAUUUGAUGAGCUCAAAGUUUGAAAGAUCAGGCAGAACAGAAUGGGUGAAGAGAGGUAAAGCCACAAACCUCUGUGCAUCCUUUAGGUUAUGGGGCGUGUGGGAAGAACACCAGAUUGAUUCUCACUUACCUUGUGUCUGUUCUGAUCAAAGCAAGUUAAUGUCAACACAAUCUAUACCCAGUCGUUAUUACCAAUGAAGUGUUG
rnacentral:lncRNA from 1 species